rnacentral:rRNA from 1 species
GACGGAGGGUGCUAGCGUUGUUCGGAAUCACUGGGCGUAAAGGGCGCGUAGGCGGCCUGAUAAGUCGGGGGUGAAAGCCUGUGGCUCAACCACAGAAUUGCCUUCGAUACUGUUAGGCUUGAGACCGGAAGAGGUGAGUGGAACUCCUAGUGUAGAGGUGGAAUUCGUAGAUAUUAGGAAGAACACCAGUGGCGAAGGCGGCUCACUGGUCCGGUACUGACGCUGAGGUGCGAAAGCGUGGGGAGCAAACAGG